CAUUUAUUAUCUAAUUAGAUUAUGCGAUCUAAUUGGGUCUAACCUAAUUUGGUUGGGUCCAGAACCUAAUUGGAUAAGAAUUCGAAUUCGAAUUGUAAAAGCUCCUUGCACCACCCUUCUUGCGCCACUUAUUUCUUCACACAUGAAAAGGUUUUGAGAAUGGAAUUUCUCUCACCCAGAAGGAGUUUGAUGCCUACUUCUGAUCUCUUUUGGAUUAGAAUUUGGUUGGUUUAAGUUUGAGU
rnacentral:lncRNA from 1 species